rnacentral:rRNA from 1 species
GUAGGGAAUAUUGCACAAUGGGCGAAAGCCUGAUGCAGCAACGCCGCGUGCGCGAAGAAGGCCUUCGGGUCGUAAAGCGCUUUUUGGGGAGAUGAGAAAGGACAGUAUCCCCAGAAUAAGGCUCGGCUAACUACGUGCCAGCAGCCGCGGUAAAACGUAGGAGCCAAGCGUUAUCCGAAUUCACUGGGCGUAAAGCGCGUGCAGGCGGCUCGAUAAGUUGGAUGUGAAAGCUCCCGGCUCAACUGGGAGAGGCCGUUCAAUACUGUCGGGCUAGAGGGCGGCAGAGGGAGGUGGAAUUCCCGGUGUAGUGGUGAAAUGCGUAGAUAUCGGGAGGAACACCAGUGGCGAAGGCGGCCUUCUGGGCCGUACCUGACGCUCAGACGCGACAGCUAGGGGAGCGAACGGGAUUAGAAACCCGGGUAGUCC